AAAGCAAGAACAAAGGAAGAAAAAGAAAGAACAAAAUCCUAGGUGGAAAAAUUCAAGGGAAAAGUAUAAAAAUUCAAGGAAACAAGUGAUAAAAGGUAAGAUUUUUCAAUUCUAGCUUGUGAUCUACCUUUCUUAAGCAUUUUUUCUUAUUUUCCAUGGUUGAAUCACAAGAUAUCAUGAAGGAUAGUGUGCUGAUCAAACCCUAGGAGAGAGAAUUUGAUGAUGAUUUAGAUAGAUUUUUAAGAUAUAAGGAUGUUUUUAGUUGUUUAUGGUGUUAAGUGUAAGAAUUAAGCUUGAAAUUCACAUAUUCCUCAUGAGUUCAUCAUUGGCCGAAUCUUCCUUGUAGAGUGUUGAAGGUGGAUUUGAUUUUAUUUCAAGUAAAUUGGUUAGGAAAUGAUGAAUUAUGGUGAGAAAAUCAAGUAGGAAAAAUCAUAAUGUUGAUGCACUCACCAUGGCCGAAAUUCUCAAGAAGAAAUGUAAGGAUGAUUUUGCCAUAUUUCAAGUUAUUUAACUUGUGUUUGAUGGUUUGGAGAAUUGGAAGAAAGAUGGAAUUAUUUGGAGUUGAAUUGGACGUAUUGGCCAAUUAAUCGGGUGAUAGAUCGAAUUAGGCCAAUAUCGUUUUAUUUAGGUACAUAAUUGAAUUUACAUUGAACACCAUAUUUAGAUAGUUACUCGAGUAUUUCACAUCCCAUUUCAUGCAUUAGUAUAGAGCCUGAAUUGGUUUUAUAACAAUUUAGCAUAAAUGUAGUAAAUGGCUUAUUGUGCAUUAUGUUUAAGUGGUGAGCAUUCUGACAAAAGUAAAGAGAUAGUACCCGAGGAUCAAGAAUCGAAGUACUCAAAAUUCGACUCCCGAAAUAGUGAGUAACCUUAUCAUCAUCUUGAUUAUCUGAAGUGAAUUUUAAUUCGUUUUUUUGAUUUUAUGGAAACUGAGUUUAAAUGGUAAAUUUUUAAGUUUUAUAAACAAAAUGUAUUUAAAUGAAAUGAUUUUAUAAAAUUGUCUUGAAAUUGAAUGAUGGCUUUGAAAAUGGAGUAAUUGGAGACUAGUUGUUGUGUUAUAAAUCAUGGUUUGAAUUGAAUGGCUUAUGAUAAUAUUGGCAUGAAUGGCUAAAUUGGUAUUUGUGUUGAAAAUGUAUGAACUGUUAAUUUGCCUUGAGAGGCUGUAAAAUAAAAUAAUUGCCAUGUCAUGUUGUUGAAUUUUAUUGAAUUGGUGGGUUAUAAAUUGGUCGCUGUAGUGGACGGCUUUCGUGGACCAGCCUAUUAGAGGGGCACGGUAACCCUAUUAUAUUCAUACCUUAGUAUGAGAGGCGCGGUUGGAUAACUCCUGAGGUUAAAACUUUAGAGCUCACUUCACGCCAAACCACCACGUGAGGGUGAACUCAGCCAACGCCAAUGAAAGACUAUGCUUUCAAAAUAAAAACAUGAUUUAUGGGUACAUAACUUUUUAACAGCCUUGGCGGUCUCGAUUGGGAUAGCCCUCGGCCAAGGUAUCCCUAAUAACUGAGUAUGAGAAUGAUUUUAGCACAAGCCAAAGUUUUAAGAAAUUCAUAAGCCAUGUUGAUUACUCGAUUUAUAUGAAUUGAUUUUAUUUGGUUGAAAUGAGUUGAAAGGUGAUGAAUUACAGUAUGUUAAACUAUUUUAUCUAUCUCUAUUUACUCAGCUUUAGAUAUUUUAGAUGGUACUUGUUUACUCACUGGGAUUAUAUAAUCUCACCACCCGUAUUUUCACCCAUUUUAGGCUCAGGAUAGUCGGUAGAUAGCUCAUUUCGUUGAGAGCUAUAGUUGGACUUGCAUUCUCAAAAACUUAGGUUUACUGCUUUUGAUACUUUUAGUAGUUCGUGGGCCCAUGUGUCACUGUAAAUUAAAUUUUAUACUUUGGUUAUCUGUAUUACAGUAUGUAUGAAUUUAUUUAGCUUUUACGCUACAAAAAUUAUUUACUAGUAACUCUAUAAAUAUUGUUUUAUAAGAAAAU
rnacentral:lncRNA from 1 species